AGAGUAAAAUUUUUAAAGGGGCAGUGUAAUGGGUGCUCAUUUUGUGUAUAAAAUAGUUUCUUACAUUAUAAGUAGAGUCGAUCAUGAUGGGUUGGCCUUGGCCACAAUGUAAACUUUUAAAUUGGCCUGGCCUGCAGCUCAAUAAGAAUAAGUAGUUAAGUACAGUUCAGGCCUGAGGACUGGCCCAUUAUCAACUCUAGUUAUAAGGCAUGAGGGGACUAACAGCCAAGUCUCAACUUUCCCAAAUGUGGAUGGUUCAAAGAGCUUUUCAUUCGCAAUAACAAGCGCACUAAAAUAAUUUUCAUUAUAAAAAUGAAUAAAAUUGUAUAACUGGUGAUCCAAUUUAAAGACGAGUUUAAGUGGUAUCUAUUUAACUUUAUGUUGGAUAAAUUUUCAAAUAUUUAUUAAACUUGUUGGGAGACUUAAAAGUACGCUGGCUUGCACAAGUAUAUUAGAUGCCAAUAAGCUGAGGCUUGUUAGCAUCGAGCCCCAU
rnacentral:lncRNA from 1 species